UUUUACUUAUCUAACAUUCUUAUUUGUUUAAUUUGAGUCACUCAAAAAUAUUAAUUUUAAUUUUAAAUUUUUAAUUAAUUACUUAUAAUAUAUUUAUAACUGCGAGAAUAUUAUGAAAUAAACUAAUUAUUAUACCUAAUCUGAUAUAUUCAAAUUUUGAAGUCAAAGUAUCCGGCUCAAAUCAAAUAAAUAAAAAAAAACUAGAUACUACAAUUAAAAAUUUUAAAAAAUUAUACAAGUGAUUCAAAAUAAUAAAUAGCUCAUAUUAAUUCCAAACAUUUCUCCCUAAAAAAGAAAGGGAAAAUUUCAAAAAACCUCCCGUGGUUUCACACUUUUUCAUUUGAGUACCCUUUGGUUUCAAGUACCCUGUGGUUUUGCACUUUCUCACUUUAAUAUCCAGUGGUUUAAAGUGUAUCAAGUUAGUACCAUGUAGUUUCGCACUUUCUCACUUUAGUACCUUAUAGUUUAAAGUGUAUCAAGUUAGUACUUUUUAGCUUUAUUUUUGUAUCAAGUUAGUAUCUUAUGGUUCUAUUUUUUUCUUAAUAAAAUAGAUACUAAAGUGAGAAAGUGCAAAACCACAGAAUACUAACUUGAUACACUUUAAAUCACAAAAUACUAAAGUAAGAAAUAGUGAAACUACAA
rnacentral:lncRNA from 1 species